UGUGAUCGAAAGAUCAAAGACGGGGACCGCAAGGCCUGUCACUUCCCGAUUGGUCCGCGGCCUAUCAGCUAGUUGGCGGGGUAAAAGCCCACCAAGGCUACGACGGGUAGCUGGUCUGAGAGGACGACCAGCCACACUGGAACUGAGACACGGUCCAGACACCUACGGGUGGCAGCAGUCGAGAAUCUUUCACAAUGGGGGCAACCCUGAUGGAGCGACGCCGCGUGGAGGAUAAGGUCUUCGGAUUGUAAACUCCUGUCAUGUGUGAACAAGGUUGCGGGGCUAAUACCUUUGCAAAUUGAUGGUAACACAAGAGGAAGAGACGGCUAACUCUGUGCCAGCAGCCGCGGUAAUACAGAGGUCUCAAGCGUUGUUCGGAAUCACUGGGCGUAAAGGGUGCGUAGGUGGCGUGGUAAGUCAGAUGUGAAAGCCCGGGGCUCAACCUCGGAAUUGCAUCCGAUACUGCCAUGCUCGAGUACUGAAGAGGUGACUAGAAUUCUAGGUGUAGCAGUAG
rnacentral:rRNA from 1 species